CCUGCAGCCACCCCCAAAGGAACAUUUGGGCCUUGCCUUAUACUUAAGGCACCCAACCCGUGCCUCUUAACCCCCAGCAUUAAGCCCAAUUAUUUUUGGGGCUCUAUUUUCGAUCCAAUAAUAUUAUUUUAAUAUUAUUUUGCUUCUACGAUCGACCCCGAAUGGUCCCGAUCUAUUGAAUUAAUUCAAAGUGACCUGCAGUCCAUUAAUCUGAUACUGAAUCCAAAAUUAUUGACCUAAAGAUCUCUUUUGGACAUUAACGAUUCAAUAAUUUAUUUCUCUUCUUUGAACCGUCACAUACUUUCGUAGUAACGAAGCUCUCACACUUGAGUUCCCGAAGACAACUCAAAUCCACUACACUAAGUUAGUAUAUUGCAUUAUGAGUUUCUUGCAGGAACCUCUCCUUUAUGAACUAAACGUGUUGGAAAUGUGCCCUAAAGCCAAUCAUAUGAUGAUACUUUACGGACAUUUCACAUGUUAAACUAAUCUAGUUUUACAUAUAAAGGGCAAAGAUUAUCGUUUGAGCCGUCUCAUAUAAAUGUUAUAUGCUUAAACGAUAAAGUCCAAGGAAUAUGUGAUUGGGAGAAUGUA
rnacentral:lncRNA from 1 species